rnacentral:rRNA from 1 species
AUAUGCCGCCUGGGGAGUACAGUCGCAAGGCUGAAACUCAAAGGAAUUGACGGGGGCCCGCACAAGCGGAGGAACAUGUGGUUUAAUUCGAUGAUACGCGAGGAACCUUACCUGGGCUUAAAUGUAGAGUGCAUGAAGUGGAAACAUUUCUUUCCUUCGGGACUCUUUGCAAGGUGCUGCAUGGUUGUCGUCAGCUCGUGCCGUGAGGUGUCGGGUUAAGUCCCAUAACGAGCGCAACCCUUAUCGUUAGUUGCCAGCGGGUAAUGCCGGGAACUCUAACGAAACUGCCGGUGUAAACCGUGAGGAAGGUGGGGAUGACGUCAAAUCAGCACGGCCCUUAUGUCCAGGGCUACACACGUGUUACAAUGGCCGGUACAGAGGGCAGCUACCUGGAGACAGGAUGCGAAUCUCCAAAGCCGGUCUCAGUUCGGAUCGGAGUCUGCAACUCGACUCCGUGAAGCUGGAUUCGCUAGUAAUCGCGCAUCAGCCAUGGCGCGGUGAAUACGUUCCCGGGCCUUGUACACACCGCCCGUCAAGCCAUGGAAGUUGGGGGUACCUGAAGUCCGUAACCGUAAGGAGCGGCCUAAGGUAAAACUAGUGACUGGGGCUAAGUCGUAACAAGGUAGCCGAAUCGA